AUCGAAUUGUAGAUCAACGAUUAUGCCCUCGUACAAAACGACAGCUGCGCCGAGUCCAAAGAGAAAUCCGAUGAAGGCCCUCGCUUUCCGAUGAGUGCCGAUUGGGUCAUAGCAGAUGUGGAAGAGGGAUUGGACUUAGGGGACAGCGGGGCACAGAGGACCACCGCUUAUAAAACAUAAGUAAACAAACGCCAUUUGUUUGAAAAUGAAGAAAUUACAAUAAACAGACAAUCACAAAUAGUGUAAUGACAGUAGGCCAUAUAAACAAACCUAGAAAGUUGUAACGAACAAACUGCAAAAGGAUCACUUUUGAAGAUACACUCGUUAAAAUGUAAUAUUAAUAAAGUUCGUAUAAAGUAA